CCACCUCAACACCCUGGCAUCCAGGCUUCUCCUAUUGAUGCCAGAUAAGGCCAUCCUCUGCUUCAUGUGCAGCUGGAGCCACGGCUCCCUCCAUGUGUACUCUUUGGUUGGUGGUUUAGUCCCUGGGAGAUCUGGGGGCGUCUAGUUGGUUGAUAUUGUUGUUCUUCCUAUGGUAUUGCAAACCCCUUCUUGCUAUAAUUUUUAAACUUUUAACUUUAGUAGAGGCAAGCUAUCAACAAAUAUUCUACUACUGUUUGCACAGACUUUACCACUGGCUGUUUAUCUGUCUGGGUCAAUGUAUCCCAUUUUGUUGUUGUUUUGUUGUUGUUGUUGUGUUUUGCUAUUAUUUGCUGCUGUUUCUUAUUAGUAUCCCCCCUCCUGGAAUUAACACCUAUUUUAUUAUUGCUUUCUCAGUUGACAUGCUAAUUCUAAUAAAUCAUCUAGUGACAUUU
rnacentral:lncRNA from 1 species